rnacentral:rRNA from 2 species
GUCUUCCAGAGCAACGCCGCGUGGGUGAUGAAGGUUUUCGGAUCGUAAAGCUCUGUUGUUAGGGAAGAACAAGUGCAAGAGUAAAUGCUUGCACCUUGACGGUACCUAACCAGAAAGCCACGGCUAACUACGUGCCAGCAGCCGCGGUAAUACGUAGGUGGCAAGCGUUGUCCGGAAUUAUUGGGCGUAAAGGGCUCGCAGGCGGUUUCUUAAGUCUGAUGUGAAAGCCCCCGGCUCAACCGGGGAGGGUCAUUGGAAACUGGGAAACUUGAGUGCAGAAGAGGAGAGUGGAAUUCCACGUGUAGCGGUGAAAUGCGUAGAGAUGUGGAGGAACACCAGUGGCGAAGGCGACUCUCUGGUCUGUAACUGACGCUGAGGAGCGAAAGCGUGGGGAGCGAACAGGAUUAGAUACCCUGGUAGUCCACGCCGUAAACGAUGAGUGCUAAGUGUUAGGGGGUUUCCGCCCCUUAGUGCUGCAGCUAACGCAUUAAGCACUCCGCCUGGAGACUCCCCGGUCC